rnacentral:rRNA from 1 species
UGCAGUCGAGCGAAUGGAUGGGAGCUUGCUCCCUGAAGUUAGCGGCGGACGGGUGAGUAACACGUGGGCAACCUGCCUGUAAGACUGGGAUAACUUCGGGAAACCGGAGCUAAUACCGGAUACGUUCUUUCCUCGCAUGAGGAAAGAUGGAAAGACGGUUUCGGCUGUCACUUACAGAUGGGCCCGCGGCGCAUUAGCUAGUUGGUGAGGUAAUGGCUCACCAAGGCCACGAUGCGUAGCCGACCUGAGAGGGUGAUCGGCCACACUGGGACUGAGACACGGCCCAGACUCCUACGGGAGGCAGCAGUAGGGAAUCUUCCGCAAUGGACGAAAGUCUGACGGAGCAACGCCGCGUGAGCGAAGAAGGCCUUCGGGUCGUAAAGCUCUGUUGUUAGGGAAGAACAAGUGCCAGAGUAACUGCUGGCACCUUGACGGUACCUAACCAGAAAGCCACGGCUAACUACGUGCCAGCAGCCGCGGUAAUACGUAGGUGGCAAGCGUUGUCCGGAAUUAUUGGGCGUAAAGCGCGCGCAGGUGGUUCCUUAAGUCUGAUGUGAAAGCCCACGGCUCAACCGUGGAGGGUCAUUGGAAACUGGGGGACUUGAGUGCAGAAGAGGAAAGUGGAAUUCCAAGUGUAGCGGUGAAAUGCGUAGAGAUUUGGAGGAACACCAGUGGCGAAGGCGACUUUCUGGUCUGUAACUGACACUGAGGCGCGAAAGCGUGGGGAGCGAACAGGAUUAGAUACCCUGGUAGUCCACGCCGUAAACGAUGAGUGCUAAGUGUUA